UUAAACUGGAGAUUAUUUGCAAGAUAUGAGUUACUAGCUUAUUAUACUGAAUUACAGUAUCCAAUUAGUGCUGUGUUUGUUUGUUUGUUUAUUUAUUUAUUUUUGUGAUGGAGUCUUGCUCUGUCACCCAGGCUAUCAUGCCACUGCACUCCAGCCUGGGCGACAGAGCGAGACUCCACCUCAAAAAAUAAAAUCAAGAUAACCUCUUGAAUGUAAUAGCUCAUAGCACUUUAAUUUGGCAAGCCAUUUUUCCUGUUUUAUUAUAAAUCUAUAUUAGAUGUUUGAAUAUGGUUUGAAAUAUUUCACUACCGUGCU
rnacentral:lncRNA from 1 species